UUUUUUUUAUAUCUCUAAUUAAAUUUUCACUUUAAAUAUUAUUAACAAAAAAAAAAAAAAAUUUUUUUUUUUAAUUCGUUGCUUUUUUUUGGAUAAAUAACUUUGUGCUACAAACACCAGGUGUUAUAAAUUUCCAGAUUCAAGACAAUUUGAAUUUCGUCAAAUUUAUUGCCGUUAUUAUUCGAGUAGGAAAUUAGAAUAAAGCGGCUCAUCAAUUUUUGUGUACAAGCUAUUUGGAAAUGGUAAGACAUUUUUAUUUUAAAUCUGAUCUUUUUCAUUUAAUUUUCCUAUAUUUAAAUUAAUAUUUGAACGGGUAAUGAAAUAUUGUUUUUAUAAAAUUAUUCAGGUC